rnacentral:rRNA from 1 species
AGAAAUACGUGGCAAACGGCUCAGUAACACGUAGUCAACAUGCCCAGGGGACGUGGAUAACCUCGGGAAACUGAGGAUAAACCGCGAUAGGCCAUGAUUUCUGGAAUGGUUCAUGGCUGAAAUCUAUAUGGCCCCUGGAUUGGACUGCGGCCGAUCAGGCUGUUGGUGAGGUAAUGGCCCACCAAACCUGUAACCGGUACGGGCUCUGAGAGGAGGAGCCCGGAGAUGGGCACUGAGACAAGGGCCCAGGCCCUAUGGGGCGCAGCAGGCGCGAAAUCUCUGCAAUAGGCGAAAGCUUCACAGGGUUACUCUGAGUGGUUCCCGCUAAGGGAAUCUUUUGGCACCUUUAAAAAUGGUGCAGAAUAAGGGGUGGGCAAGUCUGGUGUCAGCCGCCGCGGUAAUACCAGCACCCCGAGUGGUCGGGACGAUUAUUGGGCCUAAAGCAUCCGUAGCCGGUACUGCAAGUCUUCCGUUAAAUCCACCUGCUUAACAGUUGGGCUGCGGGGGAUACUACAGCGCUAGGAGGCGGGAGAGGCAAGCGGUACUCAAUGGGUAGGGGUAAAAUCCGCUGAUCCAUUGAAGACCACCAGUGGCGAAGGCGGCUUGCCAGAACGCGCUCGACGGUGAGGGAUGAAAGCUGGGGGAGCAAACCGGAUUAGAUACCCGGGUAGUCCCAGCUGUAAACGAUGCAGACUCGGUGAUGGGCUGGCCUUGUGCCAGCCCAGUGCCGCAGGGAAGCCGUUAAGUCUGCCGCCUGGGGAGUACGGUCGCAAGACUGAAACUUAAAGGAAUUGGCGGGGGAGCACCACAAGGGGUGAAGCCUGCGGUUCAAUUGGAGUCAACGCCGGG